GACCAGGCGACCGUGCUGGCGUGCGGCGCGGAUUUCAAAUCCGUGAUGCCGUUCCGACUGCAAAUCGGGCGGAUGUGGGUUCGAUUCCCACCCUGGUCUCCA
rnacentral:tRNA from 1 species